ACUUUCUUUUUGUUUUGUCCUCGAGGUAUACUGGUUGCUUUCUUCAAGAAUAAAAAACAGCAAAAUAUCAGUCGUUGGCUUUAUGGUGUACAGAUGCCUGUUUUGCCAGGACAAAGGGAACAUUGCAUGCCCAUGUUAUUUCCAACACAUUCAGAGUUCCUGUUUGCUUCCAGUUAUCCUCCAGCACUGCAGAGAUAGGUUGAUACUUUGGAUGUGCCUGAACCUUCCUUUUCGACAAGAAGUUAUCUUGAAAAUCACAUCUUCCAAAGUGUACUCUUAGGACCAUGCAGAUUUUGAGGAAGAGAGGCCAUCAAAGCAGCCAAGCAAUCUCCUGUCUUUCUGCAUUAAACUAUUUCCUCCUGAUCCCCAGGCUGGACUUAUGUGCCAGAGAAAUUGGGAAGUCCAUGGCUUCAGUCUGAAAUCAGAUUUCACACCUGAUCUGUAACCAUCUUAGCUACAUCUGCAGUGUACAGAGAUCCACUAGGAACAUCAUCUAUAACCCUAUGUCACCUUUUCUGCUGUUGAUGGGGAAGGAGAAAUGACAAGGAACAAAAUGGAUUCAGAAGCUGUGCUUGAGAGAAUGGUUCGCAGGCAAUAAGAUGGAUGUCAUGUAAUUACUCCACUAUAAAUUCCUGCCUGCUUCAUACCGUGUUGUUUAUUCCUGUCCUCUCUUAUUCAUUCCUAUUUUUAUCCAGGGCAUUAUUUUCUUCUUUUCCUGCUCUCCCUACUCCUGAAAACCCCAGUCUGCAUUUAGUAAAUAAAGGGCAAAGUCACUUCUCAU
rnacentral:lncRNA from 7 species